rnacentral:rRNA from 1 species
CAGGUCUUGACAUCCAUGGAACCCUGCAGAGAUGCGGGGGUGCCGUAAGGAACCAUGAGACAGGUGCUGCAUGGCUGUCGUCAGCUCGUGUCGUGAGAUGUUGGGUUAAGUCCCGCAACGAGCGCAACCCUUAUCAAUAGUUGCCAGCGGUUCGGCCGGGCACUCUAUUGAGACUGCCGUUGACAAAACGGAGGAAGGUGGGGAUGACGUCAAGUCAUCAUGCCCCUUAUGCCCAGGGCUACACACGUGCUACAUUGGCCGCUACAGAGGGUUGCGAUACCGUGAGGUGGAGCGAAUCCCUUAAAGGCGGUCUCGGUUCGGAUUGGAGGCUGAAACUCGCCUCCAUGAAGGUGGAGUUGCUAGUAAUCGCGGAUCAGCAACGCCGCGGUGAAUACGUUCCC